rnacentral:rRNA from 1 species
AAAAUAACUAUAAUUUUGGUGAAAUAUAUUUUAUCUUGAAAAAUUAUUUUUAUGUCUGAAAAAUUUUUUUUAUAAACUAGGAUUAGAUACCCUAUUAUUAAAAAUGUGAUAAAAUUAACUUGAUUAUUAUUAGAAAUGAUCUUUAAAUUCAAAGAAUUUGGCGGUAAUUUAUCUUAUCAGAGGAACCUGUUUUAUGAUUGAUAAUCCACGAUAGAAAAAACUUCAAUUUAACUUGUAUAUCUCUGUCAAGAAUGUUUUAUAAGAAAAAUUUUCAUAUUAUAUAAUUAUAUAUUUAAUGUCAGGUCAAGGUGCAGUUUAUAUUGAAGAAAAAAUGGGUUACAAUUAAUUAUUUAAUGGAUUAUUAUUUUAUAAAAUAAUAUGAAAUUGGAUUUGAUAAUAAAUUAAUUAAAUUUAAUUAAUUGAAAUUAGCUCUAAAUUAUGUACAUAUCGCCCGUCACUCUCAUAAUUUUAUUGAGAUAAGUCGUAACAAAGUAACUGUACCGGAAGGUGUAGUUAGAAAGA